GCCCGGUUAGCUCAAUCGGUAGAGCGUGAGACUCUUAAUCUCAAGGUUGCGGGUGAGUUACUGAUUCAACGCCCAAAAGUGCCGCCGACCAACCAUACUAAUUAUCAUAAUUAGGUUCGACCCCCGCAUCGGGCU
rnacentral:tRNA from 1 species